rnacentral:rRNA from 1 species
UACGUAGGGGGCAAGCGUUGUCCGGAAUUAUUGGGCGUAAAGCGCACGUAGGCGGCUUUGCAAGUCCCAUGUGAAAUCCCACGGCUUAACCGUGGAAGUGCAUGGGAAACUGCAGAGCUUGAGUACUUAAGAGGAUCGCGGAAUUCCCGGUGUAGAGGUGAAAUUCGUAGAUAUCGGGAGGAACACCAGUGGCGAAGGCGGCGAUCUGGGAAGAUACUGACGCUGAGGUGCGAAAGCGUGGGGAGCAAACAGG